rnacentral:rRNA from 1 species
UACGUAGGCAGCAAGCGUUUGUUCGGAAUUACUGGGCGUAAAGAGUGUGUAGGCGGUGCUCUAAGUCUGUUGUGAAAUCUCCCGGCUUAACUGGGAGGGUGCGGCGGAAACUGGAGUGCUCGAGUGUGGGAGAGGUAAGCGGAAUUCCUGGUGUAGCGGUGAAAUGCGUAGAUAUCAGGAGGAACACCUGUGGUGUAGACAGCUUACUGGACCACGACUGACGCUGAGACACGAAAGCGUGGGUAGCAAACAGG